AUUAUUACUGUACUAAACAGUUAGAAUUGAAGUCAGUGUUUGACGACCAGGCCACAGAUACGAUGAAAUUCUACAUGAUAAUCAGCAUAGUUGGAUUUGCUUGUGGCCUGUUAAUGGCAAUACAAGGGGAUUCAGGUCCGUGUAUUACCAGAAUCAUAAACGGACAUUUUGUUUUUCAAGGAAAUUGC